GUGGCAGCAGCCGCGGUAAUACGAAGGGACCUAGCGUAGUUCGGAAUUACUGGGCUUAAAGAGCACGUAGGUGGUUAAGAAAGUUGGUGGUGAAAUCCCAAGGCUUAACCUUGGAACUGCCACCAAAACUUUUUAACUAGAGUAUGAUUGAGGUAAGCGGAAUUUCUAGUGUAGAGGUGAAAUUCGUAGAUAUUAGAAAGAACACCAAUUGCGAAGGCAGCUUUCUGGAUCAUUACUGACACUGAGGUGCGAAAGCAUGGGUAGCGAAGAGGAUUAGAUACCCUCGUAGUCCAUGCCGUAAACGAUGUGUGCUAGACGUUGGGAAUUUAUUUUUCAGUGUCGCAGCAAAAGCGUUAAGCACACCGCCUGGGGAGUACGACCGCAAGGUUAAAACUCAAAUGAAUUGACGGGGACCCGCACAAGUAGUGGAGCAUGUGGUUUAAUUCGAAGAUACGCGCAGAACCUUACCAACACUUGACAUGUUCGUCGCGACUCUAAGGGAUUAGAGUUUUCGGUUCGGCCGGACGAAACACAGGUGCUGCAUGGCUGUCGUCAGCUCGUGUCGUGAGAUGUUGGGUUAAGUCCCGCAACGAGCGCAACCCUUACUUUUAGUUGCUACCAUUUAGUUGGGCACUCUAGAAGAACUGCCGGUGAUAAGCUGGAGGAAGGUGGGGAUGACGUCAAGUCCUCAUGGCCCUUAUGUGUUGGGCUACACACGUGCUACAAUGGUAUUUACAGUGGGAUGCAAAGAGGCAACUCCUAGCCAACCCUCAAAGAAUACCUCAGUUCGGAUUGUACUCUGCAACUCGAGUACAUGAAGCUGGAAUUACUAGUAAUCGCGGAUCAGCGCGCCGCGGUGAAUACGUUCCCGGGUCUUGCACACACCGCCCGUC
rnacentral:rRNA from 1 species